rfam:Delta proteobacterium NaphS2 ctg_1101087565826, whole genome shotgun sequence.
UUCGCCCUAAAUGUUCAAGUUAUUAACGGACAGACUCUAAGCGUAGGACAGCGAGACGAUAGGCCGUAAGCCGUAAGGUUGAAGGGAUUGAGCCUCGAAAGGAUUAGAUGAGAGGGACGACAUUUUCUUUGUGACGGAAGUCAACAUGUCUGCUGGCGAAUGGCACGUCAGCGGCGCCUCUCCGGGGUCUGAGACCA